rnacentral:rRNA from 2 species
GAACGCCGGCGGUGUGCCUAAUACAUGCAAGUCGUACGCACUGGCCCAACUGAUUGAUGGUGCUUGCACCUGAUUGACGAUGGAUCACCAGUGAGUGGCGGACGGGUGAGUAACACGUAGGUAACCUGCCCCGGAGCGGGGGAUAACAUUUGGAAACAGAUGCUAAUACCGCAUAACAGCAAAAGCCACAUGGCUUUUGCUUGAAAGAUGGCUUUGGCUAUCACUCUGGGAUGGACCUGCGGUGCAUUAGCUAGUUGGUAAGGUAACGGCUUACCAAGGCGAUGAUGCAUAGCCGAGUUGAGAGACUGAUCGGCCACAAUGGAACUGAGACACGGUCCAUACUCCUACGGGAGGCAGCAGUAGGGAAUCUUCCACAAUGGGCGCAAGCCUGAUGGAGCAACACCGCGUGAGUGAAGAAGGGUUUCGGCUCGUAAAGCUCUGUUGUUGGAGAAGAACGUGCGUGAGAGUAACUGUUCACGCAGUGACGGUAUCCAACCAGAAAGUCACGGCUAACUACGUGCCAGCAGCCGCGGUAAUACGUAGGUGGCAAGCGUUAUYCGGAUUUAUUGGGCGUAAAGCGAGCGCAGGCGGUUGCUUAGGUCUGAUGUGAAAGCCUUCGGCUUAACCGAAGAAGUGCAUCGGAAACCGGGCGACUUGAGUGCAGAAGAGGACAGUGGAACUCCAUGUGUAGCGGUGGAAUGCGUAGAUAUAUGGAAGAACACCAGUGGCGAAGGCGGCUGUCUGGUCUGCAACUGACGCUGAGGCUCGAAAGCAUGGGUAGCGAACAGGAUUAGAUACCCUGGUAGUCCAUGCCGUAAACGAUGAGUGCUAGGUGUUGGAGGGUUUCCGCCCUUCAGUGCCGGAGCUAACGCAUUAAGCACUCCGCCUGGGGAGUACGACCGCAAGGUUGAAACUCAAAGGAAUUGACGGGGGCCCGCACAAGCGGUGGAGCAUGUGGUUUAAUUCGAAGCUACGCGAAGAACCUUACCAGGUCUUGACAUCUUGCGCUAACCUUAGAGAUAAGGCGUUCCCUUCGGGGACGCAAUGACAGGUGGUGCAUGGUCGUCGUCAGCUCGUGUCGUGAGAUGUUGGGUUAAGUCCCGCAACGAGCGCAACCCUUGUUACUAGUUGCCAGCAUUAAGUUGGGCACUCUAGUGAGACUGCCGGUGACAAACCGGAGGAAGGUGGGGACGACGUCAGAUCAUCAUGCCCCUUAUGACCUGGGCUACACACGUGCUACAAUGGACGGUACAACGAGUCGCAAGCUCGCGAGAGUAAGCUAAUCUCUUAAAGCCGUUCUCAGUUCGGACUGUAGGCUGCAACUCGCCUACACGAAGUCGGAAUCGCUAGUAAUCGCGGAUCAGCAUGCCGCGGUGAAUACGUUCCCGGGCCUUGUACACACCGCCCGUCACACCAUGGGAGUUUGUAACGCCCAAAGUCGGUGGCCUAACCUUUAUGGAGGGAGCCGCCUAAGGCGGGACAGAUGACUGGGGU